AAUAUGAUAUUACUGUUCCAUAAAUAUCAUUGUGUAAAAAACGUAAAGUUGGAUUUUCUUAUUGUGGAGAUAAGAAACAGCUCAAAUUUACAUUGUUUUGUACGUUACAAAUUAUAGGCUUAAAAUGUACGAAAUGUAACUUUGAAACGACACUAAUUUUUUACGCACGAUAAACCUCCACGACUUAGAUUAUAGAUUCCUAUACGACUCUCAGUAAAAAUUUAUCCGCACUCCAGAUAGUUAAAACUUCUGUCGACCGUAUUGAUCCAUCUGCACUCUUCGUAUGACGUCAAUAUCUGUUCAGUGCUGCUGCGCAGGUUUCUUUGUGUUACGUCAAUUCGUUUGUGACCGUUGCGCGAGUAAUGGCGCUUUGCAAUGGUGAUUUGCAGGAAAACAGUGCAGGAUGCUGUGAUUCGUUUCUUGUGGUCGGAGGUUAUGUUUGAUGCCUAUAUUUAUCAAAGAUUUAAUGCACAUUAUGGAGAAAGUGUUUUGUCACGAAGUGUGUUUGAAUGGGCACAAAAGUUCAAAGAAGAUCGCACAAGUGUUAUGAAAAAACAGCUGGACGCCCGUCCACAUCCACGAUGACAACAUUGAACGUGCUCAUGAACUUAUGCUCUAUGGAAUAGACGAGUGACACUGGAUAAUGUGGCAAAUCAUUUGCAAAUCAGCCACGGCUCUGCUUAUGCAAUAGUGCACGACAGAUUUGGAUUUUAAAAAGUUUGUGCGAGAUGGAUGCCGAAAAAGCUGAUGAAAAGGUGAAGACGACGAUGCAUUCGUGGUUCGCAGCUCAGCCCAAAACAUUUUUUAAUGAGAAAAUACAAAGGUCCUUCGGCAAAUGGACAAAGUGUAUACAGAAAUCGAGUGAUUAUGUCAAAAAAUGAUGUAUGUCUUUUUUGACAAUUGCUUAAAAUAAAUUCUACACCGACAGAGCGGGCUGUUAAUCUAGAGGCUGGAGUACAAAGAAGUGGCACAAUGAUGUGGGCUGAUGACAUUUAUAAUUAUCAAGGAAUCACCCCUACAUUCGCUCAGAAUUUUAAUGAAACUGUCCCUUGGGAAGGAAGAACUGAUACCUUGAUAUCACGGAUAUUUAUGUUUAGUAACCAGUAAUUCAGAGAUUGGUAUUCAUGGUUACUAUAACGAGGCUGUAGAAACGCACCCUUUCUUCUUUGCAAAUGGUCCUGUAUUUAUGUCUAAGCCGAAACUGGAACCUCUGAAUAAUUUAGAUUUAUUCUUGUUAUUUUCUAAAAUACUUAUCUACAGUAUACCAUAAGGAAUGAUACCGUAUCGCACCUAAUCAAGUGCCUUAAGAAACAUCAACAGGAUAUCACAGUAAUCCCUUAUCGACUGAUAUUUGUAGCCACUACAAUAUCUAUGACACUGGUAGUAAUUAUAAGAACAAUAAUGAUGUUCUAUAAGAGGAAAUGAUGAUUAGGAACAAAAACUUACAGGAGAUAUCAUGCGGUGGAUGGAUAAUAUGUAAAAAAUAUUAAGCAGUAUAUGAAUUUUCAUAUUGCGUAGAGAUAACAAAAUGAAUUUUAAAAAAUGUCGACACGGUAAUAAGAAAUAGCAUCGUGACAAAGAAUAUAUAAAGACAGUUUCAUUUUUUAUAAAUAAAAAUUUGUUGUUCCAGAUUUUGAAAUACAGUGAAACGUUUAAUUAGUAUCUUAAUAUCUUUAAAUAAUUAUUAUUUUAGAAUCAAUUGUAAUUGUAUCAUACGUACUUUUGAAUUCGUGCAAGAACAUAUGUAAUUUUGAAGUAGUUAUUAUUAGGAAACUGUUAGACGCGAACAGUAUGCGAAAAGUUAGUAUGCAGUGUAAUAAUUAUCAAUCAAAACACAAGAAUUAAAUUCUUGAGGAAAAAAUUUCCGGAAUUUCUUAUUUACAUGAUUAUAGAGAAAUCCAUAAUAAAAAGGAGCUGCUUUCUAAUACUUCGCUUCCUUGUAAUGCCUACGUUAACAAUAACGAGGUUCGACUUUUUGUUUUUAGAGGGAUACUGGAAAAUUUGGAAGUACAGUACCAUUGGGAAGAAAAUCACGAUAUUGAAAACGAUAUUUGCAAGUAAAUUUCCAAAAAAUCUGUUUUCAAAUUUUCGCUUUCUAUUUCACAUUAAAAGAAAGGGAGGGCUGCCUUCUUUUUCUGCAAGACAAAACAAACAUUCUGAAUCUCGUAUCAAUGAAUGAUGUCAAUAAGUUAUUUUUCUUUUCAGAU